rnacentral:lncRNA from 1 species
CCCAGCUCUUAGCAGCCACCUUCCCCUACACAUAGCCUGGGCCUGGGCCACAAGGCACCAUGCAGGUGCCAGCAGGGGCUCUGCUCUUUCCUGCCUUGGUGUGUUUGUGCCUGUUUUCAUUGCCGGACUGCCCAACCCACCCUCGGAUGUCUGUAAAACUCUUACGCAACCCUGAAGACGCUGGCUCAAACACAACCGCUGGCCUUCCUAGAGAAAUCUUGGCGCCCUGAGUUGACAUCUUUGCUGGAGACUGACAGCUGGAAUGAGAUGUUCAAGUGAAGAAGAUGAAGAGAAACACGUCUCUUUAAGCUGGUUUCAUCAACUUGAGACAUAGAGUUGACAUUUAUCAAAAGCUUUCUGGCUUCCAACAUGAAAAUUUCUAGAUAAUGUUCAGCCUAGAAAGUGGAAGAUUAAACUUCAAUGUUUCCUGUGAAAAUAAACCUUCAUUAAAAAAAUAAUUACCAAACACCUACUGUGCCAGGCUCUGCAGUAAGCAUCAGAGACACAGCACCCAGCAGAGAAGGAGCCCUAUGAGGUCUCUGUCAUCCUGGAACUUAGUCCUGACCUCCAACAUAAAGCCAGUCCUUUCAUUUAAAGAUGGAAUUGGUUGGAACACAAAGGAAACACCAGUACAAUUCAUAACUACGGAAACCUCCACAGAGCAAUGGAACACAGCUACAUUCCUGCACCUGGAAUGUCUGGUUUCAUGAGCAUCCAGAAGGAAGCGGGUGUGAAACUGAUCACCAACAUGUACAUUCUAAUUAAAUUCAGUCACAUUGCUAAAGCUGAGGACUCACAGAAUGGUUAUAAUGUACUUAUUUAAAAAAUAAAAUUUUAUUCUAAAAUAAUUCAAAUGAGAAGGAAACCAGGCAUAUGACUGUAAGUUAGUACUUAGCAAUCUAAUGAGUGAAGAGUUCUUAAAUAUAACAAUAGUCAAAACAGAAACAAUGAAAAACUUAGACUUUUUUGUUCAUAUUUGUCAAUUAAAACUGAUCAUAAACCAUUUUAAUCUUCUAACCAGUGUCUGUUAUAAUUUUGUCCAUUUUUUCAAUGGCAAAGAUUCCUAUUUAGAGUUCCUUCUUAUUCAAGGGGAUUGCUAGCUUUGUUUUCAAACUGAAAAUAACUUUAUUGUUUUGUGAUUAUAAAAAUGGGUAAAAGUAACAAAUGUUCAUAUAGUGUUUUAGCAAUACAUAAGUUCUGCAAUACUUAAAAGUGUGAAGAACAUGAAAUACAAGUAUAGCCAUCACUCAGUAUCCAUGGGGAAUUGGUUCCAGAAUCUUCCUUGGAUACCAAAAUUUGUAGAUGCUCAAGUCCCUCAUAUAACAUGGUGUAGUAUUUGCAUAUGACUUCCUGUAUACUUUAAAUCGGCUCUAGAUUACAUAUAAUACC